AUCCCCAAUCAGAGCCUCUCCAACAGCACCCAAAGCCAUGCCCUCACCGAACUUAUCAUCAGCGUCAUCGUGUCCCUCUCUGCAACUGUCCUCUCUAACUUCUUCCUCCUUAUUCACCCCAAAAUCCUCUCAAAAUUUCACCUUUUCCCCUCCAUGGCUUGCUUCCAGGAAGCUCCCUAUGGCCCGAAUCUCCUGCGUUUCGACGCGACCCAGGAGACUGUCAGGUCGGACGAGCGAGGAAACGGAAACCCAUGAGCUGGUUAGAGAGAUAAUGAGGAGCUUCAGUGACAAAACACCGUUGUUGAAGACGCUAAACAAGUAUGUGACGAUGGUGAGAACUGAACAUUGUUUUCUUCUCUUUGAAGAGCUGGGGAAGGCUGACAAAUGGCUUCAAUGCCUUGAGGUAUUCAGAUGGAUGCAAAAACAACGCUGGUACAUUGCUGAUAAUGGCAUUUAUUCUAAGUUGAUAACGGUUAUGGGAAAGAAAGGCCAAACUAGGAUGGCUAUGUGGCUCUUUUCUGAGAUGCGUAAUAGUGGGUGCCGACCUGACACUUCUGUUUAUAAUGCUCUAAUUACAGCCCACCUCCACACCCAGGAUAAAGGAAAGGCAUUAGCCAAAGCGCUUGGUUAUUUUGAGAAGAUGAAGGGAAUGGAACGUUGUCAACCUAGCAUUGUGACAUAUAAUAUUCUUUUGAGAGCUUUUGCUCAAGCUCGAAAUGUUGCUCAAGUUAAUGCUUUGUUCAAAGAACUCGAUGAGAGUUUUCUUUCUCCUGAUAUUUAUACUUACAAUGGUGUGAUGGAUGCAUAUGGGAAAAACGGGAUGAUCAGAGAAAUGGAAGAUAUACUUUCCCGCAUGAAACGUGCUCGGUGUAAGCCAGAUAUUAUUACAUUUAAUUUGCUGAUUGAUUCAUAUGGGAAGAAGCAAGCUUUUGACAAGAUGGAACAAGUGUUUAAGAGCUUGUUGCACUCCAAGGAGAAUCCAACACUGCCUACAUUUAAUUCAAUGAUCAUUAACUAUGGGAAAGCAAGACUUAGAGGGAAAGCUGAAGACAUUUUCCUAAAGAUGGCUGAUAUGAAGUACAAACCAAGCUUCAUAACAUAUGAGAGUCUCAUUACAAUGUAUGGAUAUUGUGACUGUGUUUCUAGGGCCAGAGAAAUAUUCGAUGAGCUCAUCAAGUCAGGGAAGGGGAUAAAAGUUUCAACACUGAAUGCCAUGCUUGAUGUUUACUGCAUGAACAGUUUGCCUAUGGAAGCAGAUGCUCUUUUUGACAACCUGCGCGAUUUGAAGGUGACUCCAGAUUCGUCAACAUAUAGACUUCUUUACAAAGCCUAUACCAAAGCCAAUAUGAAAGAUCUAGUACAAAAAUUGCUAAAGCGGAUGGAGGGAGAUGGUAUAGUCCCAAAUAAAAGAUUUUUCUUGGAGGCUUUGGAAACUUUUGGAUCUAAAAUGGCUAGUCCAGAAUCAGCUAGUGCUAAAACUGAUAUGAGCAAAUUAGGGACUCUUGCAAAGACAUAGGUCGAUGUGAGAUUUUUUCUUAUUCAAGCAUUCUUCUGAUCUUUUACUGAUUCUAAGAUUCAAGGCAAAUAUAGCGCUGGAAUGAUGGGCAAGUUAGCACCUGAUCACUUGGCUGUUGAGCGCAUUGUUUGCUUCCAUAUGAUCUGGCGCAGGAUAUUUAAGAUCAGGAUUCAGGAUAGAGAAGCCAAUUUUUCACAUUUCUGUUCUCGUAUGUGAUAUAACAUGAAUAUCUUGUGUUGACGGACAAUUGUGUUUCUGCUUGUUGAUUACUGUGUUGUAACAUCAUAUUUCCAGAAAUCCUUUGCCUUCAACGCAGAAUCUGUCGAAUUUUCCAUCAGAAAUGCCUAUGCAUUAUUGCUUGUUUAGGAGUUGCUCCCUUUUUGACUUGUUCAUGUUGCUUGUACUCAAAGCAAAGUAUCUAAAAACAAUACUAUGUGUACACAUUUUUUAGUAUAUAUAUGAUAUGUUAUUAUCUGAUUA